AUUGAACGCUGGCGGCAUGCCUUACACAUGCAAGUCGAACGGCAGCAUGGAGAGCUUGCUCUCUGAUGGCGAGUGGCGAACGGGUGAGUAAUGCAUCGGAACGUACCGUGUAAUGGGGGAUAACGUAGCGAAAGUUACGCUAAUACCGCAUACGUCCUGAGGGUGAAAGCAGGGGAUCGCAAGACCUUGCGUUAUACGAGCGGCCGAUGUCAGAUUAGCUAGUUGGUGAGGUAAAGGCUCACCAAGGCGACGAUCUGUAGCGGGUCUGAGAGGAUGAUCCGCCACACGGGGACUGGGAACCGGCCCAGACUCCUACGGGAGGCAGCAGUGGGAAUUUUGGACAAUGGGGGCAACCCUGAUCCAGCCAUGCCGCGUGAGUGAAGAAGGCCUUCGGGUUGUAAAGCUCUUUUGGCCGGGAAGAAAUCGCACAGGCUAAUACUCUGUGUGGAUGACGGUACCGGCAUAAGAAGCACCGGCUAACUACGUGCCAGCAGCCGCGGUAA
rnacentral:rRNA from 1 species